rnacentral:rRNA from 3 species
GCAUAUCAAUAAGCGGAGGAAAAGAAACCAACAGGGAUUGCCCUAGUAACGGCGAGUGAAGCGGCAACAGCUCAAAUUUGAAAUCUGGCCUCGGCCCGAGUUGUAAUUUGCAGAGGAAGCUUUAGGCGCGGCACCUCCUGAGUCCCCUGGAACGGGGCGCCACAGAGGGUGAGAGCCCCGUAUAGGUGGAUGCCUAGCCUGUGUAAAGCUCCUUCGACGAGUCGAGUAGUUUGGGAAUGCUGCUCAAAAUGGGAGGUAAAUUUCUUCUAAAGCUAAAUACCGGCCAGAGACCGAUAGCGCACAAGUAGAGUGAUCGAAAGAUGAAAAGCACUUUGAAAAGAGGGUUAAAUAGCACGUGAAAUUGUUGAAAGGGAAGCGCUUGUGACCAGACUUGCGCCGGGCUGAUCAUCCGGUGUUCUCACCGGUGCACUCUGCCCGGCUCAGGCCAGCAUCGGUUCUCGCGGGGGGAUAAAGGCCCUGGGAACGUAGCUCCUCCGGGAGUGUUAUAGCCCGGGGUGUAAUGCCCUCGCGGGGACCGAGGUUCGCGCAUCUGCAAGGAUG